UUAAAACUUUGAAUCGAGACAUUUACUCAGCGGGCAUGUCAGUACUCAACGAUCAGUUGUAAUUUCUAUCUGGAGCUCUCAGGUCAGCCGCACAGGACUGAAAAUCUUUUUAGAAAAUUUCACCAUCCAAAAUUUUGAGUUUCCCCUUAAAAUUUUUUAUUCCCUUUUCAGUUAAAUUUAGUAGUCAAAAUUAUGUGCGGCGGCUUUGGGUGCGGUCCUUAUGGCUACGGACCCUCGGGCCCUUGUGGACCCUGGUGCGGACCUUGGUGUGGCCCUUGCGCCUUGUCUCUGGGACCCUGUAGCUACUCUUGUUGUGGUGGACCCAAAGGCUGUGGGCCGAGUGGACCCGCCUGUUGGCCAUAUGGCCUGUACACCUGCUAGGCUUCAGACGGACUUCAGAAACUUCUGGACAACUCCCCCAUGAAACCUUCAGGACAGGCGGGUGCUCUCCAUGUGGGGAAACUGUGCACGUUGAAAUAGAGGAUACAGCAGUUCAAUAAAAAAGGCGAUGGUGAUCGAUUAAAACCAA